AACAACGCUGGCGGCGUGCUUAAGACAUGCAAGUCGUGCGAGAAAGUUCCUUCGGGAGCGAGUAAAGCGGCGCACGGGUGAGUAACGCGUGGGUAAUCUGCCCGAUGGACUGGGAUAACCCCGGGAACUGGAGCUAAUACCAGAUAAGACCACGGAGUCUACGGACUUCGCGGAAAAGGGUAGGCCUCUGCUUGCAAGCUACUACCAACGGAUGAGCCUGCGUCCCAUUAGCAGUUGGCGGGGUAACGGCCCACCAAGGCGAAGAUGGGUAGCUGGUCUGAGAGGACGACCAGCCACACUGGAACUGAGACACGGUCCAGACUCCUACGGGAGGCAGCAGUCGGGAAUUUUGGGCAAUGGGCGAAAGCCUGACCCAGCGACGCCGCGUGAGGGAUGAAGGCC
rnacentral:rRNA from 1 species